UGGACCAGUGAUGAGUACCAUGGGGUAUCUGAACCAGGAUAUUUUGAUUAAACCCGAAUAUAACUCUGAGGUCUAU
rnacentral:snoRNA from 1 species